GAAAAUGCGAAGAGCAGAAUAAGGUCAUUGGAAAGUAAGUACUAAAGAGAGCCGGCGGUUGGUGUGAGCCGGUGUAUGUUUUUAAUGAUUAUCCUCUGUGAGCAGUGCACUGAAGUUCUUUUGGAAUAGUAGGUGUCACCGGUUUUCUACCGUUAAAAAGAAGCUUAUUUCUAUAGCGUAGGCUUGUGAGAUGAGACUGAGUGGUCAUGGAAAUGACAAGUAGAGUGGUAACGCGGAAGUUUUAACCUUCGUCUUUAUG
rnacentral:ncRNA from 1 species